CCUACGGGUGGCUGCAGUCGAGAAUCUUUCACAAUGGGGGAAACCCUGAUGGUGCGACGCCGCGUGGGGGAAUGAAGGUCUUCGGAUUGUAAACCCCUUUCAUGUGGGGGCAAAUUAUAAAGAUAGUACCAUAAGAGGAAGAGACGGCUAACACUGUGCGAGCAGCCGCGGUAAGACAGAGGUCUCAAGCGUUGUUCGGAAUCACUGGGCGUAAAGCGUGCGUAGGCGGUUUCGUAAGUCGGGUGUGAAAUGCGCGGGCUCAACCCGCGGACGGCACAUGAUACUGCGAGACUAGAGUGAUGGAGAGGGAACCGGAAUUCUAGGUGUAGCAGUGAAAUGCGUAGAUAUCGAGAGGAACACUCGUGGCGAAGGCGGGUUCCUGGACAUUAACUGACGCUGAGGCACGAAGGCCAGGGGAGCGAAAGGGAUUAGAUACCCCUGUAGUC
rnacentral:rRNA from 1 species